UACAGAGGGUGCAAGCGUUAAUCGGAAUUACUGGGCGUAAAGCGUGCGUAGUCGGUUAUUUAAGUCGGAUGUGAAAUCCCCGGGCUCAACCUGGGAAUUGCAUUCGAUACUGGAUAGCUAGAGUUCGGCAGAGGGAAGCGGAACUUCUGGUGUAGCGGUGAAAUGCGUAGAUAUCAGAAGGAACAUCAGUGGCGAAAGCGGCUUCCUGGACCAGAACUGACGAUCAGGCACGAAAGCGUGGGGAGCAAACAGG
rnacentral:rRNA from 1 species